rnacentral:rRNA from 1 species
AACUUAAAUGAAUUGACGGGGCCCGCACAAGCGGUGGAGUAUGUGGUUUAAUUCGAUGCAACGCGAAGAACCUUACCUGGUCUUGGCAUCCCGGAGACCCUUAGGAAACUAGGGGUGCUUCCAUCUGGAAGAAUCUGGAGACAGGUGCUGCAUGGCUGUCGUCAGCUCGUGUCGUGAGAUGUUGGGUUAAGUCCCGCAACGAGCGCAACCCUUGCCUUUAGUUGCCAGCAGUUCGGCUGGGCACUCUAAAGGGACUGCCGGUGUUAAACCGGAGGAAGUGGGGGGUGACGUCAAGUCAUCAUGGCCCUUACGGCCUGGGCUACACACGUGCUACAAUGGUCGGUACAAAGGGUUGCCAAGCCGCGAGGUGGAGCUAAUCCCAUAAAACCGAUCGUAGUCCGGAUCGCAGUCUGCAACUCGACUGCGUGAAGUCGGAAUCGCUAGUAAUCGUGAAUCAGAAUGUCACGGUGAAUACGUUCCCGGGCCUU